GACGGAGGAGGCAAGCGUUAUCCGGAAUUAUUGGGCGUAAAGGGUACGUAGGCGGCUGGCCAAGUCUGGGGUUAAAGGCCACAGCUCAACUGUGGGGGGGCCCUGGAAACUGGCCGGCUAGAGUGAGGUAGGGGUUGCGGGAAUUCCCGGUGUAGCGGUGAAAUGCGUAGAGAUCGGGAAGAACACCUGAGGCGGAAGCGCGCAACUGGGCCUCAACUGACGCUGAGGUACGAAAGCUAGGGGAGCGAAUGGG
rnacentral:rRNA from 1 species